rnacentral:rRNA from 1 species
AAUGAACGCUGGCGGCAGGCCUAAUACAUGCAAGUCGAGCGAGAGGAGGACGGGCGAGUAAUGUAUGGGGAUCUGCCCGAUAGAGGGGGAUAAGUGGGGGAAACGGUGGCUAAAGGCGCAAACGGUCGGAUGAACCGAUGUGGGAUUAGCUAGUAGGGGGGGUAAAGGCUCACCGAGGCGACGAUUCCUAGCUGGGCUGAGAGGAUGAGCAGCCACACUGGGACUGAGACACGGCCCAGACUCCUACGGGAGGCAGCAGUGGGGAAUAUUGCACAAUGGGCGCAAGCCUGAUGCAGCCAUGCCGCGUGUAUGAAGAAGGCCUUCGGGUUGUAAAGUACUUUCAUCAGGGAAGCGUUACCCAACCAGAAAGCACCGGCUAACUCCGUGCCAGCAGCCGCGGUAAUUC